GUGAACGCUGGCGGUAGGCCUAACACCUGCAAGUCGAACGGCAGCACAGGAGAGCUUGCUCUCUGGGUGGCGAGUGGCGGACGGGUGAGGAAUACAUCGGAAUCUACCUUUUCGUGGGGGAUAACGUAGGGAAACUUACGCUAAUACCGCAUACGACCUACGGGUGAAAGUGGGGGACCGCAAGGCCUCACGCGAUUAGAUGAGCCGAUGUCCGAUUAGCUAGUUGGCGGGGUAAUGGCCCACCAAGGCGACGAUCGGUAGCUGGUCUGAGAGGAUGAUCAGCCACACUGGAACUGAGACACGGUCCAGACUCCUACGGGAGGCAGCAGUGGGGAAUAUUGGACAAUGGGCGCAAGCCUGAUCCAGCCAUACCGCGUGGGUGAAGAAGGCCUUCGGGUUGUAAAGCCCUUUUGUUGGGAAAGAAAUCCUGUCGAUUAAUACUCGGUGGGGAUGACGGUACCCAAAGAAUAAGCACCGGCUAACUUCGUG
rnacentral:rRNA from 1 species